AUAAUACUCCCUCCGUCUGGAAUUACUUGUCGCACAAAUGAAUAAAAAAAGAUGUAUCUAGAACUAAAAUACAUCUAGAUACAUCCAUUCUUGUAACAAGUAUUUCCGGACGGAGGGAGUAUGUU
rfam:Hordeum vulgare subsp. vulgare, WGS project CAJW01000000 data, contig: morex_contig_49159